rnacentral:misc_RNA from 1 species
AGGCUCCAUGAGAAACACCGGGGUCAUGAGGCUAUGCACAUGGAGAUGGUGCUGAUCCUGAUAGCCACCCUGGUGGUGGCACAGAUUGUCCUGGUCCAGUGGAAGCAGAGACACUUCAAAUCUUACCAAAGAGCUACAUUGCUGGGGAUGUGGUUGAUUCCUGUUGGCUUCUGUCUCAAGUUUGGGUGGCAUCGUUUUAUUUAUGUGUGGAGUAUAUUUUCCAUCAUCACUGCAUUCAUCACUUUUAAAGCAUCCAGAAAACCUAUCUCAGGCACUACACCAAGGUUGGUGUACAAAUGGUUUCUGGUGAUGUACAAAAUUAGCUAUUUCCUAGGAAUUGUGGGAUAUUUGUCUGUGAUGUUUACUUUAUUAGGACUUAAUCUUAUUUUAUUAAUCAAACCUCAAGUCUCGAUGGACUUUGGACUUUUGCUUUUAUUUUAUGGACUUUACUUUGGAGUGGUAGCCAGAGAUUUUGCUGAAGUGUGUUCAGAUACCAUGGCAACACAAAUUGGGUAUUACACACCAACAGGGCUGCCUGGCAAAAGAUUAAACCCCAAUGUCUGUGGGAUUUGUGGAAACCAAAUUUUAGUAGAAAACAAUGAAGAUGCAAUCAUUGAGAAUACCUGUAAAUUAGGCUGUGAUCAUGUAUUCCACGAGUUCUGUAUACGAGGCUGGUGCAUUGUGGGUAAGAAGCAGACCUGUCCCUACUGCAAAGAGAAGGUGGACCUCAAGAGGAUGUUCCCUAGUCCCUGGGACAGACCGGACAUUUUAUAUGGGAACCUGCUGGACUGGAUCCGUUACCUUGUAGCCUGGCAGCCAAUCAUUAUAAUACUUGUACAGGGUAUCAACUGGUCACUGGGCCUGGAGUAGUAACCCACUGGACUUAUAUAUAUAUAUGUGUGUGUGUGUGUGUGUGUGAUGCGAGUGUCGAUAAAGUCUACAAACUGUAUGAUUGUUUAGAUUGAGUCUAUAAUUUAUGAUUGAGUUGAAGAACAAAAAAUUGUGUUCACUUCAUUUUAUGUUUGUACAAUUACCAUGAUUGAGAGAAUGCAUAAAUAUGAUGCCAAAAUACCAGUUUUAUUUGUUUUGAAAUAUCUGCAUUGGCAGCAUGCAAAUAUUAGUCUGAAUUUAUUCAAGCCAUUAUUAUUUUCC